rnacentral:lncRNA from 1 species
CCAACGUCACGUCAUCACCACCACGGUCACGUCACCACCACCACUUGCGCCGUCACCUGCAAAGAAACAACAAAACAAAGAAAAAAGAAGACAAACAACAGAAACAGUAGCCAAAAAUCGGCUAUAAAAAGCCGAAUAUGUACCCUUUUUUGCUUCUUCUUUGGGUUAGCAAUCUUAUGUAUCAAAAAAGAGAUUAGCAAAGAAAUAAAAAUUAA